UACGUAGGGUGCGAGCGUUGUCCGGAAUUACUGGGCGUAAAGAGCUCGUAGGUGGUUUGUCGCGUUGUUCGUGAAAACUCACAACUCAAUUGUGGGCGUGCGGGCGAUACGGGCAGACUGGAGUACUGCAGGGGAGACUGGAAUUCCUGGUGUAGCGGUGGAAUGCGCAGAUAUCAGGAGGAACACCGGUGGCGAAGGCGGGUCUCUGGGCAGUAACUGACGCUGAGGAGCGAAAGCAUGGGGAGCAAACAGG
rnacentral:rRNA from 1 species